AUUAAAUAACACUAUGCACAGUAUGUCAGUAAUGAACAAUAUCUUCUCCAAGUUCCUCUCAAUUAUGCAUAUCUCCUUCAGGACCACAAAGCAUGGAGUUUCUUCAUCGUCAUGACCAAUCCACAAAACACACCCAACCUUGAAUAUUAUUCCUUGAACUGAAAUCCAUUUUAUCCUGAAAAUGUCAUAUGGUUUAUCAUAAUUGUCAAUCUUCAUGCAUAGAA